CUUCAUUGGAGUCUACUCAAAGAAUCUCAACAUCAUCUUCACCUCCCCUCGGCCAACGCGAAACAUCUUCCCUAAAUAUCAUCUGGUCUACGCCUUCUUUGGAAUCUAGUCAAAGUGAACGUAACUCACAAUUAUGUAAAUCUAAAUCACAGAAAGAUUCCUCAUUAGACUGCCUUUGGACAUCUUUAUUAGAAUCCAAUCCAAAACCAUUGAGCUCGCCAUCACUCACCCACAAACUUCAACGACACAGCUUUCCCCAAACUUCAGCUCUUGAAUCCAAUCGAGUGGUUCAGAGUUCACCAUUAUCUGACUGUAAGUCUCUGAAAAUUCCUAUAUCUAACUCUAAUAACAAUGUUUUUACUUUACCAUUGUCCCAAGCAAAAUCGAGAAAGUUAGCUCCAUCGUCACAUUCUUUUCUGCCAUCUCGGAGUUUAUCAACGUGCCAGCCCAAACCUAAAAUUGCAGCUAGAUGUGAUCCUAGUACCCGGGCCAUCAGUGCAACUGUUUGCCAUCCCAAGGUCCAGAAUACUGCUUCACUCAUUGACAAACACAGACUUCGUCAGCUACCCUCAGUUCACACUAAACCAAACAUCUCAGGCCAAAGAAUACUAAGUCCUAAGCCCUGUAUCAAGAGCAAAAAUGCCUCAGUCCCGUGUUCCAGACUGCCGAAUAAAUGUAGCUUUGAAAAGAGUG
rnacentral:lncRNA from 1 species